UGUCCCAAUAAAAUCUUAAAAAAAAAAAAAAAAAGAUAUCCAGGAGUGGAAUUGCUGGGUCCCACGUGACCUACGUGCAAGCCUCCUGAGGGCCCUCGACUCUUCCGCAGAGGCGGCCCGUCUCACGUCCCCCCGGCCGCGUGCACAAGGGCCCCAACCCCCACCCCUCACUGAUCCUUGUUCUCUUCCUUUAGUUUUUCAUCACAGAUGCCCUGGUGGGUACGAAGUGAUAGCUCAUCAUGGUUUUGUCACCUGUUUUGUAAAUAAAGUUUUAUUGGCACAUGGCCUCCCCCACCGUUUACAAAUCCUCGUGGCUGCUUUCACGAUGGCAGUGGCAGGGUGAGUGGUGGAGACGGAGUCACGUGCCCCAGGUGUAGGCAACCUGAGGAGCUACGGGACGACAAACUCAUGAGACUGUUCCCCAAACUGCUGUCAUCAGGGAGAUGGGAGUGGCACACAGGACUGACCACACCAGACAGCGUCAAGGAUUAAGGGGCAUCCACAGAUGGAACCAACCAGAAUACAAUGCUGCCCAUCAGUAAGCCGUGACGGCGGGAGGGAGGAGGGCACAGGGCAGAGGGCGGCCGCCCCAGACGCACAGGCAGGCCUCCCGCGUGGGCACGGCGGAUGGGGCCAGCUCCCCUCUCUCCUUUAUUUUUUCCUUCCUUCCUUCCUUCCUCUCCCUCUGCGAGCCUACGUCAUCUUUAUAAUCAUGAGAGAAAAAAACUCUGCGUUUCAAAAGAUGUUUUACCUGCGUGGGGCAGACUGUCAGUCCCCACGCCCUUUACACUCGGCAUUUCUGGAAGCUGGAGCCCGCGCCCCGCGGAGUGGGGACAGCCCCUGGGGACAGCCAGGCCCCCGCCCGCUGCUCUUCCACUAACCCCGGGAGGGAAUGCUGCUGAGGCUCAAGAAGGAAAACCUGGAGGUGGAGGUGACCUCACUUCUUCCAAAGCCCCUGCUGACGACAGGGUGAGAACGGGGACUCGCCUGCGCUCCCAACGCUCUUGGAGGGACCAGACACAGGAGGCCCCACGGGGUCGACAGGCUGCCCCGCCCCACCCCACGGUGAAAGAUCUAGAAAGUCUUACUUGAGCAGCGCCAGGAAGGCGGCCGGCUCCACGUCGGGCAGCUCGAUCUCCGUGGACGUGGUGGCCAUUCCCCCGUUGAACAUGGCGUCGAACACGGCACUGCCCACGGCCAGCACGAACCUGGCGUCAGAGAGGAGCCUGGUGACCCUCCGCGCGCCCGCCGGUUCCCGGCCCCGAGUCUGGGGCACCGGGCCCAGCACAGAGCACACACCGGCCGCGAGCACUGCUGGCAGAUGCUUCCAGAAGGAAGAUUUAAGCAAGCACCUUGAUCGCCUGCAGGAGAGGCCGCUGCCCGCACCUGGGGGGGUGCACCCCCCGCCUGACGCUGUCCCAGGGCCCUGGACAGGCCACCGCACGGGCCGCAGAUGCAGGUGCCCCGGGGAGACGCCAGCUCAGCCUGCCAACGGCGGCCCAGAAGACACCCAGAGACCAUGACAAGGUGACACAGAUGCAGAGACAGCAGGACCCUGGUGUGGCCGCGGCUCCUCUGAUGGCCACACACCAGCCCCGCGUGACUCAGAGGUUUCACACCCAGGGCACGUCUGUGUUCGGAGCUGGUGUCCCCGUGGCCAAAAGAGGCAGCACCGGGUGUCCAUCCAUGGGAGCAGAGCGGUCCGUCCACACCCGGGAUGUGACCCAGCCCCGGGGAGGAAGGGACCCCGAAACCUGCCCCACGUGGACGGACCCCGAGGACACCGGGCUCAGGGAGGGGACCCAGACCAGAAGGACGCCUCCCGCAGGACCCCACUCCCAGAAGGCCCCCAGAGGAGGCCCGUCCACAGAGACAGGAGGUGGCGGGAGCCAGGGGCGGGGGCUCCAUGUGGGGAGAUGGAAGGUUCUGCGCGGUGGGGUGAGUGCGCUCCGUGCCCCGGGCUGUGCGCUCAGAGACGGUUACGGCGGUGAAUCUCAUGUCACGAAUAUUUCACCCGGAUUUAAAAACUUGAAAUAAGAGCAGAGCAAUGACGAGCCACCUGAACGAGGCGGGGAGAGGGAGCCCCGAGGGGCGGCGGCCGGGCCGGUCUGUGUGCCUGGGGGCCAGGGAAGCCCCGCGCCCUCGACCACAGCAACGCGCCGGGGAGGCCGAGGCCCGGUGCAGGACCGCAGGGCAGGACCGCGCUGUAGGACGCGGCGCCAAGGCCGAGCGCUCCCCGCGGCCACAUCUGGGGCGCCCACAUCCGGGGCGCCGCGCGGUAAGACAGAUGGUGAGGCAGAGCCCGGAGGCCGUGAGGAUGGACCAGCACGUCAUUAGUGAGUGGGGACAAGGGAGAAGGGACGGCGCCUCCCUCUAGAAUUCGGCGACCAGACGCAGAGGCAGUGACGACACGAAAGCCACCGUGACCGGGACUGUCCUCCCCCAGCUGAGCCCUGGGGAGGGUCACAGGCGAGCCCAACAGGCCCGAGGGCGGGACGAGGCGGUCGGAGGGCGCCAGCACCAGGGACGGUCACAGCCCGGCAGCCGCGUCCCCAGACGCCCGAGGCAGACGGAGGGGGGGCUCCCGGCCCAGGGGCCAGACAACGCGGGGCAGGCCCAACCCACGGGCAGAAGGAAGCCGCGAGCCAGGGCCCGGGGGCACGGGGAGCCCACGGACGUGAAGGGUUUGCAAGGCGGUCUUCCGUGGCGAAGACACACGGCUCGGACGCCCGGAUGGCAUCCUCGGGGCCGCGGGCGCCAACGCGCCACACGGAGAGGCGGGGACACACAGCAGCACAGGACGGCGGGCCCCGGGAACCUCUCCCCAAAGGGAAGCCCCCAGUUCAGAAGUCACAGCGACCUGGGCAGACUCGCCCCGGAGACGGGAGGGCGGAGCAGCCCGGCGGGGAGCCUGCCUGGGAUCGUCCCCCCCACGGAGACGGAGCUAAAUUAAAACAUGAAGGAAAAGGAGCCGGGCUUGGCCGGCCCUUGAGCAUGCGGGCUUCAGGGCGCGGGUGCUCCUCCGCGAGGGCAGCGCCGGCCCGCUCGUCCUGACGAUGCCCUCCGUUCCACGGACGCAGCACACGAUCCGGGACGCAGAUGGACCCGUGUUAAUCCACGGUCCGCGUUGCCCCAGGCUCCCCGUCCACCCCAGGCGGCCGGCGGGUGAGCUCCGAGGCCUGGAACGUGACACCCGGACUUCUGGCUGCGGGAGAGGCGCCUCCACCCACCCGCGUCGCUCAAGGGCCGAACGUACGGAUACGCACACCGCGUGGAUGCAUCUCCAAAGCCAUAAAGAAGCCAGACCGAAGAUGACCGCACUCUGAUUACGUGAAAUUCCUAAAGUCAGCAGAACUGGAGAACGGACGGCGGGUCGGGCCGGCGGCGAGCACGCAGGAGGCGAGCUCUGGGGGCGCGGCCACACUCACACUGCCCUGGCCGCCUUCUGCGUGGACACGGUCAGGCCAACAGGCCACUCUGCAGAAAGGGCCUGGUGGCUCCCUGCACCCCGCCCCACGGACACUGAGCCAGCAGGGAGCACACCAGCACCCGGGCCACACCUGUCUGGGAAAGCACAGGGGCUCCUGCCCCCCGGGGAGGAGGGGGAGCCCAGGAGGCAGAAACGGGAGGGAGGAAGGGGAACCAGCUGCACGGGACCUGGUUUCCCAAUGCUGAAAUUCUAGGGCUGCGCCGUCCAACGUGGUUGCUCCUGGACACACAGGCCAUUUAAAUCCAAAUUAAGGGAUCCCUGAGUGGCGCAGCGGUUUGGCGCCUGCCUUUGGCCCAGGGCGCGAUCCUGGAGUCCUGGGAUCGAGUCCCGCAUCGGGCUCCCAGCAUGGAGCCUGCUUCUCCCUCUGCCUGGGUCUCUGCCUCUCUCUCUCUCUCUGUGACUAUCAUAAAUAAAUAAAAUUUUAAAAAAAUUAAAAAAUAAAUCCAACUUAAGAUUAAAUUAGGUUAGGGGAGUGGACGCCCAGGGGGCUCUGCGGUGGAGAGCCUGCCUUCAGCCCAGGGCGUGACCCCAGGUCCUGGGAUCGGGUCCCGGGAUCGAGUCCCGCGUCAGGCUCCCUGCAUGGAGCCUGCUUCUCCCUGUGCCUGUGUCUCCGCCUCUCUCUGGGUCUCUCAUGAAUAAAUAAAUAAUAUCUUUCAAAAUUAAUUAAUUUAAAAGUACAACUCCUCAGUUGUGACAGCUAUAUCUUAAGUCGCCACGUGCAGCUAGCACAGGAUGGCGUAAACCUAGAACCUUCCUAGGAUCAUAGAAAAGUCUACCGGACGGCGCCAGACCACAGAACCCACUGAACGGCCGUGAACACGAACAAGGGUUCACACAGAAAUCGUUCACAUGAGACAGACGUAAACAGGUCGGAACCACUCAGCUUCCCCGCAAGAACCUGGAAAUACGAUGAACGUCAUUCACAAAAAGGAAAAAAAAGAAGUGAGCAAAACUCAGCUAUAAACGUGCAAAACCAUCCUAGGAACACGAGAAAAUGCCCUGAACAAACGGAGAGCGCUCCCACUCCCACCCCGCACCCCGCUCUCCCCAGCCUGGUACCCCGGGCCCAUCGCCCCAGGAAAUUCCUUCAGCACUUGACACGCUGACUCCCCAGGCCACGGGCCCCGCCUGCCUGGGGGCCGGACGACCGCCGGACACUGUU